rnacentral:misc_RNA from 1 species
AUAGGGCAAUGUACCUUCAAGUGUGGUUUUGAUGUGAGAUUCCUCUUGGUUGUGUCAAUGAGAAAUGUUAGAAUGAGUUUGGAUUAAGAUUAAUAAGCAAAAUUGAAAAGCUUACAAGUCUUUUUGUUGAGUGGAUGUCCUUCAUUUCCGUAGUCUAUCCGCAACCAUAAAUAUCACUCCAUUAUUUUUUUUACAUCUGUAAUUAUCAGUUCCUUGUAAUAAGCAACCAUAUAUACUUGAUAGAAGUAUUCAUCUUUGACUGAGUGUGUAAAUUGAGUGUGGAAAUUGAAGUAAGAUUUGAAAGUUUGAUUGUGGGUUAAAUUGGAUUCAGAAAAGGAGUCUGUUGUGGCCUUGUGGGUACAAGGAUAUUCUUAACAUGAUUCUUUUUGCAUUUUUAUUUACUUUUAUUGUUUAUACUUGUUUGCUUUUACCUUUUCUUUUGGUUUAUUUUAUAUUUGGAUAAUGAUCUCGUGACUAUUUAUGAUGGAGUUGUGCGGUGCCUAACAACUUCUUGACAAACAACCAACUCUCAAGCCAUAAUUUCUGGUUUGCUAGCUUGCCUUAUCUUUAUUCUUUUGUGUUUUCCUGCUGUUGCCUGAAUCAAAAUGAGCACUUCUUGUAAAACAUUUUUAAUUACUUUUUGAAAAAAGUUAGCUUUUGGUCUUUUCUAUGCAUGCACCAUUUUUUUUGAAGAGAUUGUGUUUUAAUAGCUCUAAUGUUGUGUUUUUGGGUUUUGCUAUUGAGUAUUGGUUUCUUCAUAAAGAUGUUUCUUGGGUAAUAUUGUUUGUGUUUUUGGGGCCUAACAUUAAUGCCCAACAUUUAAGAGUGUUUUCUUCAGAAUAUUUUGCACAUAGUAUAGAAGAGAUUGUAUUUUAGCGUUCAUUUCUCUUUUUGAAGCCGAUGCUGUUAUGUUCUGUUUGCCUUCUUCUUUGGGAUAUUUACCUGUGAAUUGAUAUAUUUUUGGUUCAAGUCAGAUCCAAUUUCUUAAGAUAUGUGGCUAAUGAAGAUCUUUUUUUGUCGUUUUCUCAUGUUCUUAUGCUAGCCAGAAAUAAUAUCAUAGUUAGACUUUCAGUCUACUGUCUUUUCUUAGACAAGGUCUUUGUUGUAUAUGUUUGUUUAGAAGCUCAGAGGGUAAUUAUGUAUAUUGCAAGACAACUUUGAUAAUGACAUGCUGAAAGAACUUUAUUUAUUUAUUUCAGGGUUUUCUGAAAAAAAUGAUUUA